rnacentral:rRNA from 1 species
UACGAAGGGGGCUAGCGUUGCUCGGAAUCACUGGGCGUAAAGCGCACGUAGGCGGAUCUUUAAGUCAGGGGUGAAAUCCUGGAGCUCAACUCCAGAACUGCCUUUGAUACUGGGGAUCUCGAGUCCGGAAGAGGUGAGUGGAACUCCGAGUGUAGAGGUGAAAUUCGUAGAUAUUCGCAAGAACACCGGUGGCGAAGGCGGCCAACUGGACCAUUACUGACGCUGAGGCGCGAAAGCGUGGGGAGCAAACAGG